rnacentral:rRNA from 1 species
CUACGGGAUGCACCAGUGAGGAAUUUUGCGCAAUGGGGGAAACCCUGACGCAGCAACGCCGCGUGAGCGAAGAAGGCCUUCGGGUCGUAAAGCUCUGUCAAGUGGGAAAAAAAUUCUUUGAUGAACAGUCAAAGGACUUGAUGGUACCACUGGAGGAAGCACCGGCUAACUCCGUGCCAGCAGCCGCGGUAAUACGGAGGGUGCAAGCGUUGUUCGGAAUUACUGGGCGUAAAGAGCGUGUAGGCGGUUUGACAAGUCAGAUGUGAAAGCCCCGGGCUCAACCCGGGAAGGGCAUUUGAAACUGUUUCACUAGAGUAUGGGAGAGGAGAUUGGAAUUCCUGGUGUAGAGGUGAAAUUCGUAGAUAUCAGGAGGAACACCCGUGGCGAAGGCGAUUCUCUGGACCAAUACUGACGCUGAGACGCGAAAGCGUGGGGAGCAAACAGGAUUAGAUACCCUAGUAGUC